UACGUAGGUGGCGAGCGUUGUCCGGAUUUACUGGGCGUAAAGGGCGCGUAGGCGGUCAGCACAAGUCAGUUGUGAAAUCUCCGGGCUUAACUCGGAAAGGUCAACUGAUACUGUGCGACUAGAGUGCGGAAGGGGCAACUGGAAUUCUCGGUGUAGCAGUGAAAUGCGUAGAUAUCGAGAGGAACACCUGCGGCGAAGGCGGGUUGCUGGGCUGACACUGACGCUGAGGCGCGAAAGCUAGGGGAGCGAACGGG
rnacentral:rRNA from 1 species